CUGAGCUGCAGGAGGAGAGCCUGCAGGCCUCCUGGGUAGAAUUACACCUUCACAAUCAUGAGAAUGUGAUUAGUGUUUCAGCCUCAGUUUCUACCUAUAGUAGGGACAUGGAAAAAAUACUGCUGAAUUUCCAGCAUAAGUCCAGAUAGAAAUAGCUCUAAAAGUUCUCGCUAUGAAAGUCCACCUCAUGUAGACACCAUCGGAUAUGAAUAGGGCUUUUGAAACAGACACCCAAAGCAUUGGAGAGAAAAACAGAUCUCCAUCUGAGCCAGAUUAUUUUGAGAGAAAAAAGUUCAAAAGAUCUUAAGAAAAAGCUCAUAUUAGAUAUAAGAUUGAUCAGCCAGAAGAUAUUCCCCUAAAAGCAAUUUCUCUGUAAACACUCAAAGUGCACAGCUACUCUCAGCAUGAGAAACAUGAGCCUUAUGAAAAAAAAGUGCAGUUUUUCAGAAGAAUUUUAUAGCCUUUUUCCCAUCUUUGCUGGUCUGUCAUCUCCUAGCCAUUAAAUUGGGGUUCUAUAUUGAAAUACAUCUGACAACUUUCAACAACACUUUUU
rnacentral:lncRNA from 1 species